UGGAAUGCUUUCAAUGGCCAGAAGGGAGGAGAGGAGCUCAUCCCCGGAUAUAUGAUUGUUGGUUAGGAGUUUUCAUUGUUAGCAAGAUCCCCAGCUAUUGAAUCUGUUGUUGUCGGCGGGGCUACUUCUUCUUCUUUCGAAAUGGGAAGAAUAGCGUAGUCAAAGUAGGCCAAGUCGGUAGCCUUUUCUUCAACUCUUGGGAGAAGGGCAGUAGUAUUAGAAAAAGGCCUAACUGCUGUUGAAGGAAUAGAGGCUGUUUCGGCUCUUGGAGUAAGGGAGAAGGGCGGGAAUGAUUUCUUGCAAUGCAACGGAACUCAAAGCCUGUUUCAUAGGCUGUACUCAUACUCACCGGCUACAUGGAACUCGUCUAACAAGAACUAUAUGAGCUGCUUUGCCGGUUGUCGAGGGUCUUUCUAAUUCAACAUAGAAAGGGGCCUUUGCCAUGCAACUUCACAUUGCUCUAUCGUCGAGUUGCUGAACAUCACUUUCAUUUAACAAAAGCAAAAUUUGCCGGACCGGUAGCAGUGUGAACCGGUCAUCUAGCAUACAAGAUCGCAAAGCUCUCAAAAAUGUGUCAGUCGUUUACAGGAAGAUGGACAGUGGGCCCUAUCCCCAACAUUGGAACGUGAGCAAGGCUCCGUAAAGAAAAGUUAAGAAACUUUUGAAAAAGUAGCAGGUAGUUGGCCUUGUUUUCGCGUAUGUGUGGAUCCCCUGGGGCAUCCUAACGUCAACGGUAGUCGCUUUAGCUAUUAGCUGUUGUGCUUGGUCAAUCAGAUCUCUACUUCUUGCUUGCUAGCUUAAUGGUGUUGUGUGCAAGAUGGUCUUCGCCGUGUAGGAUGUGGUGCUCUACCAGUGACGGAGUGGGAGUACCAUUGUUGAAUGCGCUUCUUUUCUCUGAACUUCCUCUUUGACUAUACGGGUUUGUAUGUCAGUUUCGUAGCAGACCUAGGCUGAAACGAUUGAAAAUAGGAGUCGAAGGAAUCUAAGCAUCUUCCGAGCAGUUUCAGAGACUAGAACAAAAGAAUCAGUUAGUUGCAGUACGCUUGAAAAGUCACUGUUAGUAGAACAGGCAAGUGUUAAUAAAAAACAUUGUAUUUCGCCUUUUUGGUCUUUGGUGUGUAGUUCAGAAUGCCCUGUCAUGGUCAGGGCAUAGUAAUCAUAUGAGGCAAGUCCGUCAGACAAGAAAGAGAGGUCAAGUAAGUUAUAAUAUACCUAAGAAAGGUGUUUUCUCGAAGCGUUCGUUAAUCUGAGAUAGAGACAAAAAGGGUAGGAGUGAGUCAACUAGAUGAGAAGUUGUUAGAAUGAUAUGCAUAACACACCUACGUUGUACUUGCUUAUGUCGAAAGAUCGGGUUUCCCACGCCUAGCUCCUCCUUGCCUAGCGGCGUUGGUUUGGUUUGCAUUUUUCAAAUGAAAGAUGCGUAAGCUUGUUUUCUAAGUAAAAAAAGGAAUGUUUGAGAAAGGCAUCUAUUCUUGGAUGAAACACGAUUUCAAGGCAUGAUCUUUUGCUCAAUUGCUUCUAUAACCCGCGCAAGAUCAUCCAAGUCUGCUGAUCUCGGCGGUGACGUCCGUGCCUCCUCAUCGGAUUGAUAAGCCUCGUAACUAUCCAUUAUCGGAUUACC
rnacentral:lncRNA from 1 species